rnacentral:rRNA from 1 species
UGGGGGAUAUUGCACAAUGGAGGAAACUCUGAUGCAGCGACGCCGCGUGAGGGAAGAAGGUCUUCGGAUUGUAAACCUCUGUCUUUGGGGACGAAGAAAGUGACGGUACCCAAAGAGGAAGCCACGGCUAACUACGUGCCAGCAGCCGCGGUAAUACGUAGGUGGCGAGCGUUGUCCGGAAUUACUGGGUGUAAAGGGUGCGUAGGCGGAUUGGCAAGUUGGAUGUGAAAUCUCCGUGCUUAACGCGGAGGUUGCAUUCAAAACUGUUGAUCUUGAGUGAGGCAGAGGCAGGCGGAAUUCCCGGUGUAGCGGUGAAAUGCGUAGAGAUCGGGAGGAACACCAGUGGCGAAGGCGGCCUGCUGGGCCUUAACUGACGCUGAGGCACGAAAGCAUGGGUAGCAAACAGGAUUAGAUACCCUGGUAGUCCAUGCUGUAAACGAUGAUUGCUAGGUGUGGGUGGACUGACCCCAUCCGUGCCGGAGCUAACGCAAUGAGCAAUCCACCUGGGGAGUACGGCCGCAAGGUUG